CGGCGUGUAGCGCAGCCCGGUAGCGCACUACGUUCGGGACGUAGGGGUCGCAGGUUCAAAUCCUGCCACGCCGACCA
rnacentral:tRNA from 1 species